GGGAAUUCGUAGGUACCAGUCUCCCAGCCCCAGGAGGCGAGAGGAAAGCUGGGAGUUUGGGUCCUUCGUGGGCAGCGAGCGGAGGCAGACAGAAGAUGGAAGGAGAGAUUAAGAGCUGGAUACAGGUUUUCCACUUUCUGGAUGUUCCUUAAGAGAAUGAAAGAACUUCUUCUUAAAUGCAGGGUUCUCUCCAGUAAAUGGAGUUACCGGACAGUCCUUGAGUAGAAAUGCAGGAAAGAGCACACUUUGGGAGUUUGAAACACUGGAGUUCUAGUACUCUCUUGCACUCUUUUAAAAAGUCACUCGACAGUUUCUCCUGUCAGAAUUUCCUGCUCACUGGGAAACAAGGAUGAAAAAGAUACAAUGCUUGCCCUCAUGGAGUCUGCAUUGUAAUAUGGACACAAAACAUUUACUCAUAUAUGGGAUAAUGAGAAACCCAUGAAACUUUAUCUUCAAGAAGUUCCUGUGCCAAGAACAGUCGUGUACUGGAUGGGCAUCUUCAAACUGCACAGUGAUAAUGCUUGAAAUUUAUGGCGCUAGAAGUUUGAAGGUAGCUGCUGAACACUGUGCUUGAAGUCACCUUAGUGAAAGCUCCACGCCCAGCAUGGAGCUCAACGUGGAGCCCACCAUGGGGCUUGAAUUCAAGAUCUGAGCUGAGAUCAAGACCUGAACUGAGAUCAAGAAUCUGAUGCUUAACCAACUGAGCCACCCAGGUGCCCCCAGUAAAUGGAAUAAUUUAUCCCUAAAGAAGAACAUUUAUGGAAUCUGAUUAACCUUUGAGAGCCUACUGAUGUCCUGCAUUUUCACAAAAUUUAAAUGAGGGUUUGCAACAGUCGAUGUAGUGUACACAUUUAAUCUUAAAGUAUUUGUUGAGUAAAUACACAAAUCAGUUCAAUUCAAAUCCAUACAAAUCAGUUCAAUUCAACAAAGACUUGUUAGAUAGCUAACAAGUGCCUUCAUGGGGCCUGGAGUAUAGUUCAGCGUCUUUAACUUUCUCACUGGGAGACAGUAAGAAAUCUAUUUUAUGUUGUGGCUCAAUACACACACCCCCACCACAACUGCAACAUAAGCUUGUCUUACUAGGUGAAGUGCAUUCUGAUAUGUUCUGUUUUAUAUGUAUAUAUUCUACCUUUUUUAAGACCCACUGAAUCGAUUUUGUGACCUCUUAAUGAGUCACAAUCUGCAGUUUGGAAAAAUACUAGUUGCUACAUGAAGUUACUGAAUUUUUUUUUAGGAUUUUAUUUAUUUAUCUGAGAGAGAGCGAGCGAGCAUGAGCAGGGUGAAGGGCAGAGGGAAAAGCAGACUCCCUACUGAGCAGGGAGCCUGAUGCGGGACUCAAUCCCAGGACUCCAGGAUCAUGACCUGAGCCGAAGGCAGACACUUACCUGACUGAGCCACCCAGGUGCCCCUAAAGUUACUGAAUUUCUAAUCUCAUCUUCAUUGAGCUAAAAGUUGAAAGGGUGAGUUCAGAUGCUGAUGAUCACAAGGAGAUGUCUCCUCACUUCCUAGUGUCAUAUGCGAGUGUAUGUCGCAGGAGCCAAAUGUCCAAUAAGCAAAAAAAAAAAAAAAAAGUGAGUGAUUUCCCAGGAAAUAUCCCAGGAAACUGGGAAAUAAAUUUUUUUCCCUUGUCUGUCUUCCCACAAAAUAGAUCAUGACAGGAAUGAUGAACAACAAAUCUGUCAUCCUUGAAAACGGAAAGACUGUCCCCUACCAACAAACCUUUAAUUAAAAAGCUUAUAACUUAUGCAGUUGUUAACAUCUGAAUGAACCCCCUGAAAAUAGUAUCGAUCCAGAAAAUGCUGGUUCUGGAGAAGGUCUCUGAUUGAUGUUAAUGACUCAUAGUCGUAGAGUUUUGACUCUACCCCACCAAGAGCUGACCAUUCCUGCCUUUCCCUUUCACAUCUAUCAUUUCUCUCAUAGCACCUGUGAAAUCCUCUUCCUUCUACAUUAUUGGCUUACAAAUCUGUCUCUGUCCCAUAUUAUAAACUGUUGGUGGACAAACAAUGGUUUCUUCUCCAUCUUUAUAUUCUCGGAGUGGGACACUAAGUGCUUUGUAUAUGUUUGUGGAAUCAUUGAAUGAUGCUAGUUCAGAUUGGUUGUAAAGGUAUCAAUAGGAAAAAAUACAGAUUAGUUAAUUUACUGAAGAAAAAUAAGCUGCAAAAAGAGAGUUGAAAUUCUAACUGAUCCUAACUUGGAUAAGGUCAGAAUGAGGUCAUGGUACAAGUAUUCUUUUUUUGAAAGAUUUAUUUAUUUAAGA